CGGGAGCCGGGGAGCGUUUACUCGGGGUAGGGCGAGGAAGUUACCUGCUGUCCAGCGAACAGGGCAAGAGUGGAGAACAGAGUUUUUGGCCGGGGCUGGGUUUGAAACCGCGUACCGGGCCAGCGCCGUACUCUUUUGAGCCACAGGCGCCGCCCGAGUUCAGCCAUUUCUAAAGCGUGCCGGGGUAGACAGCUGGCCACGGAUGUAGACGGUUGACUUCCCCUGGGCUCCUAGGCUGAGUGGUUGUCACACAGAAAACCUGCUGCCUUCCUCUUGUUGCAUCUGGUUGGCUAAGCAGACAAGACAGAAGGAUCCCAGGAAGAUAGUCCUCUGAUGAAGCCAGCCCAGGCUUGCUCUUGGUGAUAUGAUGUAAGGUGUGACCUGGCCAAGCCUGGCCAACCCUUUAACUGGCUGCAAGGAUUUGGGCGCAUUGUUCGAUCUUCCCAGAGCUACAACUCAGGACAGGAAGUGGAUAGACUCUCCAAGUAUCCCUCGGAUUACUGGGGCUAUGGAAGGAUGGAUGGAUGACAGAUUCGAGUCAUCAUCUGUGACCUCCAUGUUAGCAUCCAGAAGGGAACCCUUUCUGCCUCAUGAGUCGAGCUGCAGAGGGCUCUCUGGGGGAAGUGACAAACCCGGCCAGCUUUCUGAGAGCAUGUUGGCCCUGCAGAGACUCUUAGGUUUGGGGCACGUGUCUGUGGCCUCAAUUUUCUCUCUUUCAUGAGAAGUUUAGUUUUGUUUUGAAAUUGUCAGGGGCUUUGAGCCCCAGUGCCCCAAACAUAGGACAGGAUACCACUUGGUUCUACAUACCUGAACACAUGCUUGCAUGUAUGCACAUGUGUACACAUGCACACACACACACCCCGAACACAAAAUCACAGAAUUAGGAACUGCCUGAAUGUGUAUUCAGCCACCUCCCCUGUGAAGACUUGAGACCAUAAUUUAUACUACAUGCAAAAUCUCUUUUUAGGUAUAUCAGUUGUAUAGUUAUUUUCUUGAUCUCAAUCAUUUAGUUCCAAGGCGUCAUAACCCUCAGGCACCAAGGCCUAGAGAAAAAUGUCCCCUGAAAAUAAUUUUCCAAGAGGAGAGAUUCCUCUGUACACUCAAGAGGGUGUCAGAUUCCUCCCCCCACCCAAGGAAUUGGUCUGCCCAGGACACAUGCAUUUUAUAGGUUAGUUCAUGUUCACUGUGCACAUACGUAUGGCGCCAAUCACUACUUGACGUCCAUGCUGUGUCUGAGGGAAGCCAUGCUCUCUGUUCACUGCCUCUGUGUGUGCAACUGAGGAAAUAAAGGGUUGUGUGCCCUGUUUUAUAAGGUUCUUUGGGAUUUUGGAGUCCUGUGUGGUUGGUGUUUUUGCAUCUUCUCCAUGAGCAAAUUGUUUCCAUAAGCAAACAUGCCUCAUCAUCUUCAAUUUAAAAACUCCCUUUUCUCCUCUGCCUAGGUAACAGUAAGCCUGGCACUUGGCUCCUCUCUGUAAGGGCUGAGUGGGAGUUUCACAGGAAUAAGGGCUUCUGCUACAUAAGGGAUAAGUGGUGCACAAAGUAAUAGUGAGACCUGCCUUCAAAUGGGACUUCCCAAGCUAUGUGCACACUAAGGAUAUUAGGAAAAAAGUCUUUCUCUCCUAUCCAAUGCACCUUCCAACUGGUGCCCCAAUUCUCUGGCCCUCUUUGCAGGAAACACCUCAAAAGCCUCUUACGUAUUGACCAUUUCCAAGUCCUGCCCUCCCACUCUGCAGGCCUGUGUUCCACAUGAGUUAAAAAAGAUGCCAGGAAGAGAUGUUGUUCAGCACUGAGCAUAAGGAGAACCCCAGUCUUCAUCUUUUAUAAUACUUUCUUUUUUCUUUACUUCUAUUUUUAAAAUUUUCCUGCAAAACAAGUAUUAAUCUAUCAAUACAGUAAAACAGAUUAAGGCAAAUUUUUCUCAAAACAUGUAAGAUGAACUUUGAUCCAGAUCGGGUGCUCUAGAAGUAGCAUUUUGUUUUUAAGGGGAUUUUCUUUUCUUGUUCAGUUUGUAAAGAUGGUAAGAAUUCUCCCCACCGCACACCCUUUAUUUGUCCCAUGAACACCUCUGGAAGUCUGAUAACACUUAUAGAUCCUGUCUCAGAAAGUUUUUAAAGACAUAAAAUUAAAAAAUAAAACAAUUACAAGAGAAAUCAGUUACCUUAAAAUGUUAUGAAAACAUGAGAGGAUUGCUUGUGGCCAGGAGAUUGAGGUCAGCUUGGGCAACGUAGCAAAACUCUGUCUUUACAAAAAAAUUAAAAGCUUGCCCAGUGUGGUGGUAGCACUAGGUCCAGCUACUCAGGGAGCUGAGGCAAGAGGAUCACUCUAGCCCAGGAGUUCAAGGCUGCAGUAUGCUAUAAUUGCAUCAUCACACUCCAGCCUGGGUGACAGAAUGGGACCCUAUCUCUAAAUAAAACUUUAAAAAUUGCCUUGUUAUAGAAUGAUUAAUGUACAUCUUUAUGAAUGUAUUAAAUAACAUGUUCUGAUGUGGAGCAACUGUAUUAUAACUACUGUCAAUGCCAAGUAGUAAAGGGUGUUAAGAAUCUUUAGAUGUAUUUGCCAC